UACGUAGGUGGCAAGCGUUGUCCGGAUUUACUGGGCGUAAAGGGCGUGCAGGCGGUUUGUUAAGUCUAGGGUGAAAGCUCCCGGCUCAACUGGGAGAGGUCCUUGGAUACUGGCAGACUUGAGGGAGGCAGAGGAAAGUGGAAUUCCCGGUGUAGUGGUGAUAUGCGUAGAUAUCGGGAGGAACACCAGUGGCGAAGGCGGCUUUCUGGGCCUUACCUGACGCUGAGACGCGAAAGCGUGGGGAGCGAACCGG
rnacentral:rRNA from 1 species